GUUAUAUUGUGGGUGGGAUUUAUGACGGGUUUUUGGGCAUGUUUGGAACUUAGAUGCUUAAGCAGAAUUUUAGUUUUUAGAUUAGUUUA